GCUUACGGCCACACCACCCUGAGCGCGCCCGAUCUCGUCUGAUCUCGGAAGCUAAGCAGGGUCGGGCCUGGUUAGUACUUGGAUGGGAGACCGCCUGGGAAUUGCCGCGUAGCAACCC
rnacentral:rRNA from 1 species